rnacentral:rRNA from 1 species
GACGAACGCUGGCGGCGUGCUUAACACAUGCAAGUCGAGCGGUAAGGCCCUUUCGGGGGUACACGAGCGGCGAACGGGUGAGUAACACGUGGGUGACCUGCCCUCAGCUCUGGGAUAAGCCUGGGAAACCGGGUCUAAUACUGGAUAUGACUCCAUGACGCAUGUUGUGGGGUGGAAAGCCUUGUGCGGCUGAGGAUGGGCCCGCGGCCUAUCAGCUUGUUGGUGGGGUGANGGCCUACCAAGGCGACGACGGGUAGCCGGCCUGAGAGGGCGACCGGCCACACUGGGACUGAGACACGGCCCAGACUCCUACGGGAGGCAGCAGUGGGGAAUCUUGCGCAAUGGGCGAAAGCCUGACGCAGCGACGCCGCGUGGGGAUGACGGCCU